UCCUAAACCCGGUAGAAGCGGCAGCCCCCGAUUGCAAUUCGGGGCUAUAGCGGAUAACGGGGCUGCUG
rnacentral:misc_RNA from 1 species